GCCGAACCCUCGACUUGGGAGGACAGCAGCUUCGGGAUAGCUCGUUGAUUUCCGUAAACGCGGCGUUGGUUAGUGGCAAAUACCGCGAGACGAAUGGAAGCUGGACGAAUUUGUUGCGCUGCUAGGGGUGUCGGAGAUGGGCUUGUGUUCAAGGAAGGACCGCAUUUACAUAAAAGGCUAUCGCCAGGGCUCACAGUGGAUCUACAGGAAGGAGGAGAGGAUCUGUAAGAUCACUGAUUUGGAGAGCAUGAGUGCACCAGUGGUGCUCCCCCCUUAUACCUAAAAUAUGGUUCCAUAGACAGGAGCACCCUUAGGCCACUUGGUAGACCCUGCAUUCCUUUUCAAUCCAUCCCUCAAACUGCAGGAGCCGGGUCUGCAGGCUGCCUGGGGUCCAAUGGAAUGACGAGGAAUGCAGGGUUUACUUUGUAACUUAAAUGUGCUCCCAUGUAUAUGUAGCCAUAUUCCCCUCUGUUUCAAUACCCUCCACCGUAAUUUCACCAGUGCUGCCCCCCUUACACCUAAAAUAUGGUUUCAUAGACAAGAGCACCCUUAAGCCGCUCAGUAGACCCUGCGUUCCAUUCCAUCCCUCAAGACUGCUGAAGCUGGGUUCUGCAGGCUGCCUGGGGUCCAAUGGAAUGGAGAGGUAUGCAGUGUUCACCUUGGAGCUUAAAGGUGCUCGUGUGUAUGCUGCCAUAUUGCCUUCUAUUUCCAUUCCCUCCAUCGCAAUUCUAACCACAGUAUCCCUUCUUUCACCGUAAAUAUGGUUCCAUAGACAGGAGCACCUUAAAGCCACUCGGUAGACCCUGCAUUCCUGUCCACUCCAUCCCUAAGACUGUAGAAGCCGGGUCUACAGGCUGCCUGGGGUCCAA